UAAUAAGUGUUUUAUGGCACUUUUUUAAAUCCAUAUCCACCUUGUGUGCAAUGUCAGUCGAUCUUCUUCAUGGAGAUCGACCAAACAUCAACCUUAUCUUUAACUCUUUGUCUGAAAAAUAUUAUGAAUAAACAAUUCAAAAUAC
rnacentral:misc_RNA from 1 species